GGUAAUAGUUAAAUAUAACAUUUGAUUUGCAUUCAAAAGGUGUUGAUUUUCAACUUACCUU
rnacentral:tRNA from 1 species